GAUGAACGCUGGCGGCGUGCCUAAUACAUGCAAGUCGAGCGAACAGACGAGGAGCUUGCUCCUCUGACGUUAGCGGCGGACGGGUGAGUAACACGUGGAUAACCUACCUAUAAGACUGGGAUAACUUCGGGAAACCGGAGCUAAUACCGGAUAAUAUAUUGAACCGCAUGGUUCAAUAGUGAAAGACGGUUUUGCUGUCACUUAUAGAUGGAUCCGCGCCGCAUUAGCUAGUUGGUAAGGUAACGGCUUACCAAGGCAACGAUGCGUAGCCGACCUGAGAGGGUGAUCAGCCACACUGGAACUGAGACACGGUCCAGACUCCUACGGGAGGCAGCAGUAGGGAAUCUUCCACAAUGGGCGGAAGCCUGACGGAGCAACGCCGCGUGAGUGAUGAAGGUCUUCGGAUCGUAAAACUCUGUUAUUAGGGAAGAACAAAUGUGUAAGUAACUAUGCACGUCUUGACGGUACCUAAUCAGAAAGCCACGGCUAACUACGUG
rnacentral:rRNA from 1 species